rnacentral:lncRNA from 1 species
AAUACCAAGAGCCUCCGAGAAACAUACGAGAUACAAGUAGUCACGUUCAGAAAAAUUUUAAAUGGGUACAGAUCCCAAUGACUGCGAUGGGAAGACAGAGGGAGUCUCAGAUUUCCAACUGAUUCCAGCCCUCAAGUCACGGUGCUUAGGUGCAAGUCUAGAACCUUAUAUCACGUUUCUACAAUCACAUGAAAAUUCAAAGGUCGAUAUGAAGAACCAGGCAAGCUGUUCAUUCCUCUCUUGACCCUUAUACUACUUCUUCAAAUGAUUAGCUCUAUGACAUUUUAAAGGCAUGUUUUAAAAAAU